GACGUAGGGCGCGAGCGUUGUCCGGAUUUAUUGGGCGUAAAGAGCUCGUAGGCGGCUUGUCGCGUCGACUGUGAAAUCCCGCGGCUCAACUGCGGGUCUGCAGUCGAUACGGGGCAGGCUAGAGUUCGGUAGGGGAGACUGGAAUUCCUGGUGUAGCGGUGAAAUGCGCAGAUAUCAGGAGGAACACCGGUGGCGAAGGCGGUUCUCUGGGCCUGUACUGACGCUGAGGAGCGAAAGCGUGGGGAGCGAACAGG
rnacentral:rRNA from 1 species